GACGAACCGUCCAAACGUUGUUCGGAAUCACUGGGCUUAAAGGGCGCGUAGGCGGGUUACCAAGUCCGGGGUGAAAUCUUUCGGCUUAACCGGAAAACUGCCUUGGAUACUGGUAGUCUCGAGGGAGGUAGGGGUCUGUGGAACUGAUGGUGGAGCGGUGAAAUGCGUUGAUAUCAUCAGGAACGCCGGUGGCGAAAGCGACGGACUGGACCUUCACUGACGCUGAGGCGCGAAAGCUAGGGGAGCAAACGGG
rnacentral:rRNA from 1 species